GACAUCCACAGAACUUUCCAGAGAUGGAUUGGUGCCUUCGGGAACUGUGAGACAGGUGCUGCAUGGCUGUCGUCAGCUCGUGUUGUGAAAUGUUGGGUUAAGUCCCGCAACGAGCGCAACCCUUAUCCUUUGUUGCCAGCGGUCCGGCCGGGAACUCAAAGGAGACUGCCAGUGAUAAACUGGAGGAAGGUGGGGAUGACGUCAAGUCAUCAUGGCCCUUACGACCAGGGCUACACACGUGCUACAAUGGCGCAUACAAAGAGAAGCGACCUCGCGAGAGCAAGCGGACCUCAUAAAGUGCGUCGUAGUCCGGAUUGGAGUCUGCAACUCGACUCCAUGAAGUCGGAAUCGCUAGUAAUCGUGGAUCAGAAUGCCACGGUGAAUACGUUCCCGGGUCUUGUACUCACCGCCCGUCACACCAUGGGAGUGGGUUGCAAAAGAAGUAGGUAGCUUAACCU
rnacentral:rRNA from 1 species